rnacentral:rRNA from 1 species
CAGAGGGUGCGAGCGUUGUUCGGAAUCACUGGGCGUAAAGCGCGCGCAGGCGGGCGUGUAAGUCAGAAGUGAAAUUCCGGGGCUCAACCCCGGAGCUGCUUCUGAUACUGCGGGUCUGGAGACCGGUAGAGGCUGGUGGAAUUCCCGGUGUAGCGGUGGAAUGCGUAGAGAUCGGGAAGAACACCCGUGGCGAAGGCGGCCAGCUGGGCCGGUUCUGACGCUGAGGCGCGAAAGCGUGGGGAGCAAACAGGAUUAGAUACCCUGGUAGUCCACGCUGUAAACGAUGGGCACUAGGUGCCGGGGGGAGCGACCCCUUCGGUGCCGCAGCCAACGCGUUAAGUGCCCCGCCUGGGGAGUACGGCCGCAAGGCUG